AACGAACGCUGGCGGCAGGCUUAACACAUGCAAGUCGAGCGCCCCGCAAGGGGAGCGGCAGACGGGUGAGUAACGCGUGGGAAUCUACCCAUCUCUACGGAAUAACGCAUGGAAACGGGUGCUAAUACCGUAUACGUCCUUCGGGAGAAAGAUUUAUCGGAGAUGGAUGAGCCGGCGUUGGAUUCGCAGGUUGGUGGGGAAAGGGGCUACCAAGGCGACGAUCCAUAGCUGGUCUGAGAGGAUGACCAGCCACACUGGGACUGGGACACGGCCCAGACUCCUACGGGAGGCAGCAGUGGGGAAUAUUGGACAAUGGGCGCAAGCCUGAUCCAGCCAUGCCGCGUGAGUGAUGAAGGCCGUAGGGUUGUAAAGCUCUUUCACCGGUGAAGAUAAUGACGGUAACCGGAGAAGAAGCCCCGGCUAACUUCGUGCCAGCCGCCGCGGUAACAC
rnacentral:rRNA from 1 species